CAUCUGACCAAUCAGAGCAGAGUACACCAAUCGCAACAGACUGGGCCAUCUGACCAAUCAGAGCAGAACUGACCAUCUGACCAAUCAGAGCAGAGUAGGCCAAUAACAACAGAUUGGGCCAUCUGACCAAUCAGAGCAGAGUAGACCAAUCACAACAGACUGACCAUCUGACCAAUCAGAGCAGAGUAGACCAAUCACAACAGACUGGGCCAUCUGACCAAUCAGAGCAGAGUAGGCCGAUAACAACAGACUGGGCCAUCUGACCAAUCAGAGCAGAGUAGACCAAUCACAACAGACUGGACCAUCUGACCAAUCAGAGCAGAACUGACAUUCUGACCAAUCAGAGUAGACCAAUCACAACAGACUGGGCCAUCUGACCGAUCAGAGCAGAGUAGACC